rnacentral:rRNA from 1 species
UACGGGGGGAGCAAGCGUUGUUCGGAUUUACUGGGCGUAAAGGGCGCGUAGGCGGCCAGCACAAGUCAGUUGUGAAAUCUCCGAGCUUAACUCGGAAAGGUCAACUGAUACUGUGCGGCUAGAGUGCGGAAGGGGCAACUGGAAUUCUUGGUGUAGCGGUGAAAUGCGUAGAUAUCAGGAGGAACACCGAUUGCGAAGGCAGCUCGCUGGGACGUCACUGACGCUGAGACGCGAAAGCGUGGGGAGCAAACAGG